GCCGCUGUGGCGAAAUGGCAGACGCAGCAGACUUAAAAUCUGCUGGGGCGUAAUUGCCCCGUGUGGGUUCGAGUCCCACCAGCGGCA
rnacentral:tRNA from 1 species